AUCAAUUUGAUUCAAAAUUUAGCCAAGGACGAGUGUUAAAAUGUGUUUUCAGAAGAGGACUUUAUGUUUGUAGUGCGGAUGAAUAUUAGAGGUUUGUAUACGUCACUCAGCGUGCGCUCUACGUCAUUUUCAUGCGUUCUCUGACCAUAACAACACAGCCCUGGUGUCUGCUGUAAACACGUCAAGAUUCAUAUUAUAAAAACAUCGAGGACACUCGAGACAUGUAAAUGGCAGCAGUGUUUGAUAUGUUAGGAAUACAAACAGAUGAAUUUGUUCUUCAGCUCGGUUUACUAUGAUUAAAUGAUAUAACAGAGAGUCUCCAUCAGUUAACGUUACAGUGAUGGAGAUUGAUGAAGAUCUAGAGACACUGGGAGAGAAACUGUAUGAUGUAAUUCAUCCAAAAUACACAGAGAUGAGACCUAAACUUACAGGUAUGUUGCUGUUGUUGCUCAGAUGCUGCAGGAUGAAUCUCUGUUGAAUGAAGCACUAGAGAGAGCAGUGACUGCUCUCACAUAAUCAAUAAACAGUGAACCUGUGUCUCAAACUGAUAAUGCAGCUUCUGUCUCCUCUUCUGUGAACAGCUGUAUGACCUUACUGACCUCUACAACACCAGACACACACAGAAAAUAAAAGGUGUAGGGAGGGCAACGAAAUGACAGAUGUGAAUGACGGAGAGCGAGAAUUGGCGAAACGCUUUUCAGUAUUGUACAGCAGCUAGAUCCCGCCCACUGUGCUGACAUCACAGGAAGACGCUCUGAGCCAGACACACACGCAAAUGUCAAAAUGAGGCCUGGGAAACUCUACAGACCAUGUGAUCUGGAAAACACAAUAUAAUGGAUCAUCAAGAGAAACUUAGUAAUUUAGACUCUUGGUUAUUGAUAUUGCUGUACAUUUAACUUGCACAUCUUAAGACGUUGUUCAUAUGAACUUUUUAAAAUGCUAUUUUUGGGCUAUUUGCCACUUUUUAUUCAUAUAGAGGGCACAGGAAAUUAUCAUGGAGAGUGUGACCAGAUACUGCACAUGAUUGAUUCAAACCUACGUUUCCUGCAAGAGCACCACAGCACAACGCAUCUAGAGGCUUUGAUGUUCCACAAGCGCACAUUUAAGACAUUAUGCUCUCGGAGUUGUCAUAAUCAGCGAUCAUUAAAGAUUUGUUUAUUUAAUUUGCAUUAAAAAUAAUAUAUCUCUGUAAAUAAAGAAUGCAAAUGGUAUUUAAUUUAAUGUUUUAACAUACAGUGUGAGUCUUAUUUCACUCUGUGGCUUUGUAUGAGAUUAAUGCAUGUUCAGCUUUGUUUUUAACCUCUUUUGUCAUUAACUAAUGAAAUAAUAAGUUGGGGUGGGACAUAUUAAAGGGUUUGUCCUGUUGUUGUUUUUUUAAAUAGCUAAUAGUGUUUAGUUUAUGUCAGUGGUGAACCAUGAUUUGCUUCUUGCUAGUCAGAAGCAUUUUAUGGGGCAAAAGGAUCCACAUUUUAUUAGGUGUCUUUAACUACUAUUUACUUAAGCAUUUGAUAAAAUGUGCUUAUUUUGUACAUGGUGUUGCAUUUAAUUAUGUCUGUAAUUACACUGUUAACCUUACCCGUUAACCUACCCGUACCUCAGUAGCAAUAAAUGUGAAUCUUGUAAGAAUUUUGCAGGGCAAAAUGUAGUUACACAAUAAUAUCAUUAUAUUGUAUGUAUUUUGAUGUUAGUACAUAGUAGUUAAAGAUACCUAAUAUAAAGUGUGACUGGACGUUUUCCUGGCUAAAAGUUUAAUUUUGUCAAAUUUAAAGGGAUAGUUACCAAAAAUUGAAAAUGCUCUCAUCAUUUAAUCACCCUCAUACCAUCUCAGAUGUGUAUGACUUUCUUUCUUCUGCUGAACACAAAGAGUUUUAGAAAAGUAUAUCAGCUCUGUAGGUCCUCGCAAUGUAAGUGAAUGGUGACCAAAACUUUGAAGCUCCAAAAGCACAAAGGCAGAAUAAAAGUAAUCCACACAACUCAAGUGGUUAAAUCCAUGGCUUCUGAAGUGAUAUGAUAGGUGUGGGUGAAAAACAGUCAACAUGCAAGUCCUUUUUUUUUUUACUAUAAAUAU